rnacentral:rRNA from 1 species
UACAAUUGUACAGUAAAAUUCUUUAUUAGUAUUAGUUAUGUUCUUGAAAAUUAAAAAAUUUGGCGGUAUUUUAAUCAGUUCAGAGGAACCUGUCCUAUAAUUGAUGGUCCACGAUAUGUUUUACUUAUUCUUUUAGUUUGUAUAUCGUUGUUAAUGAAUUUUCUUUUAGGAAAAAUUUUCUUUUAUUUUUAUAAAAAAGUAUUUCAGAUCAAGGUGCAGUUUAUGAAUAAGAAGGAGAUGGGUUACAACAAAUUUAUUUUUGGUUAUUAAAUUUAAAUUUUUAAUAUAAAUUGGAUUUGAUAGUAAUUAUAUUUAUUUUAUUAUAAUGAUUAUUGUUCUAAAAUAUGU